AGACCCGAAACCCGGUGAUCUAGCCAUGGGCAGGUUGAAGGUUGGGUAACACUAACUGGAGGACCGAACCGACUAAUGUUGAAAAAUUAGCGGAUGACCUGUGGCUGGGGGUGAAAGGCCAAUCAAACCGGGAGAUAGCUGGUUCUCCCCGAAAGCUAUUUAGGUAGCGCCUCGUGAACUCAUCUCCGGGGGUAGAGCACUGUUUCGGCUAGGGGGCCAUCCCGGCUUACCAACCCGAUGCAAACUGCGAAUACCGGAGAAUGUUAUCACGGGAGACACACGGCGGGUGCUAACGUCCGUCGUGAAGAGGGAAACAACCCAGACCGCCAGCUAAGGUCCCAAAGUCAUGGUUAAGUGGGAAACGAUGUGGGAAGGCCCAGACAGCCAGGAUGUUGGCUUAGAAGCAGCCAUCAUUUAAAGAAAGCGUAAUAGCUCACUGGUCGAGUCGGCCUGCGCGGAAGAUGUAACGGGGCUAAACCAUGCACCGAAGCUGCGGCAGCGACACUUUAGUGU
rnacentral:rRNA from 2 species